rnacentral:rRNA from 1 species
UACAGAGGGUGCAAGCGUUGUUCGGAAUUAUUGGGCGUAAAGGGCGCGUAGGCGGUGCGGUAAGUCUGUAGUGAAAUCUCUGGGCUCAACUCAGAGUCUGCUGCAGAAACUGCCGUGCUUGAGUGUGGGAGAGGUGAGUGGAAUUCCCGGUGUAGCGGUGAAAUGCGUAGAGAUCGGGAGGAAGGCCGGUGGCGAAGGCGGCGCUCUGGAACAUUUCUGACGCUGAGGCUCGAAAGCGUGGGGGAGCAAACAGG